AGCGGCGAACGGGUGAGUAACACGUAGGUCAUCUGCCCAUCAGACGGGGACAACGAUUGGAAACGAUCGCUAAUACCGGAUAGGACGAAAGUUUAGAGGCGCUUCUGGCACCGCUGAUGGAUGAGCCUGCGGCGCAUUAGCUAGUUGGUAGGGUAAAGGCCUACCAAGGCGACGAUGCGUAGCCGACCUGAGAGGGUGAACGGCCACACUGGGACUGAGACACGGCCCAGACUCCUACGGGAGGCAGCAGUAGGGAAUCUUCGGCAAUGGGCGAAAGCCUGACCGAGCAACGCCGCGUGAAUGAUGAAGGCCUUCGGGUUGUAAAAUUCUGUUAUAAGGGAAGAACGACUUUAGUAGGAAAUGGCUAGAGUGUGACGGUACCUUAUGAGAAAGCCACGGCUAACUACGUGCCAGCAGCCGCGGUAAUACGUAGGUGGCGAGCGUUAUCCGGAAUUAUUGGGCGUAAAGAGCGCGCAGGUGGUUGAUUAAGUCUGAUGUGAAAGCCCACGGCUUAACCGUGGAGGGUCAUUGGAAACUGGUCGACCUGAGUGCAGAAGAGGGAAGUGGAAUUCCAUGUGUAGCGGUGAAAUGCGUAGAGAUAUGGAGGAACACCAGUGGCGAAGGCGGCUUCCUGGUCUGUAACUGACACUGAGGCGCGAAAGCGUGGGGAGCAAACAGGAUUAGAUACCCUGGUAGUCCACGCCGUAAACGAUGAGUGCUAAGUGU
rnacentral:rRNA from 1 species